UAUUGGACAAUGGGCGCAAGCCUGAUCCAGCAAUACCGCGUGUGUGAAGGAGGCCUUAGGGUUGUAAAGCACUUUCAAUUGGGAGGAAAACCUGCCGGUCAAUACCCGGUAGCUUGACAUUACCUUUAGAAGAAGCACCGGCUAACUCCGUGCCAGCAGCCGCGGUAAUACGGAGGGUGCGAGCGUUAAUCGGAAUUACUGGGCGUAAAGCGUGCGUAGGCGGUUCGUUAAGUCAGAUGUGAAAGCCCUGGGCUCAACCUGGGAACUGCAUUUGAAACUGGCGGACUAGAGUUUAGUAGAGGGGAGUGGAAUUUCAGGUGUAGCGGUGAAAUGCGUAGAUAUCUGAAGGAACACCAGUGGCGAAGGCGACUCCCUGGACUAGAACUGACGCUGAGUACGAAA
rnacentral:rRNA from 1 species